GUGACCGUAAACGAUGCCAACCAGCGAUUCGGCGACGUUCUUUUUAUGACUCGCUGAGCAGCUUCCGGGAAACCAAAGUGUUUCGGUUCCGGGGGAAGUAUGGUUGCAAAGCUGAAACUUAAAGGAAUUGACGGAAGGGCACCACCAGGAGUGGAGCAUGCGGCUUAAUUUGACUCAACACGGGAAAACUCACCCGUUCCGAACACUGUGAGGAUUGACAGAUCAAGAGCUCUUUCUUGAUUCAGUGGGUAGUGGUGCAUGGCCGUUCUUAGUUGGUGGAGCGAUUUGUCUGGCUAAUUCCGAUAACGAACGAGACUCUGGCCUACUAACUAGCGGCGGUAUUCACGUCUCUCGCGCGACGCCGUGCCUACGUGUCGGCUGAGCACAGUCGCCGUUCGCGCGAGCGCUCCGCGGAGCACCUGCAGUGCCGGCGGCCGCUUCUUAGAGGGACCAGCGACACUUUCGCAAGCCGCACGAGAAAGAGCAAUAACAGGUCUGUGAUGCCCUUAGAUGUACGGGGCUGCACGCGUGCUACACUGACGGCGUCAGCGUGCGUUCAAGCCCGGCCUGGCAAGGCCGGGAAAUCGGCUGAAACGUUCUCGUGACUGGGACAGGGAAUUGCAAUUAUUUCCCUCGAACGAGGAAUUCCCAGUAAGCGCGAGUCAUCAGCUUGCGUUG
rnacentral:rRNA from 1 species